ACUCAAAUGAAUUGACGGGGGCUCACACAAGCGGUGGAGCAUGUGGCUCAAUUCGAAGCAACGCGAAGAACCUUAUCCUGGGCUUGACAUGGUGGAAGUAAGAACCUGAAAGGGUUAUGACCGGUAUCCAAUCCGGAACCAUCACAGGUGCUGCAUGGCUGUCGUCAGCUCGUGCUGUGAAGUGUCGGGUUAAGUCCCAUAACGAGCGAAACCCUUAUUGUUAGUUGCCAGCGGGUAAAGCCGGGCACUCUAACAAGACUGCCGGUGUUAAACCGGAGGAAGGUGGGGAUGACGUCAAGUCCUCAUGGCCUUUAUGCCCAGGGCUGCACACGUGCUACAAUGCCGAUGACAAACCGAAGCAAGACCGUAAGGUGGAGCAAAUCGGAGAAAAAUCGGCCCAGUUCAGAUUGAGGGCUGCAACUCGCCCUCAUGAAGUUGGAAUCGCUAGUAAUCGCGGGUCAGCUAUACCGCGGUGAAUGUGUUCCUGAGCCUUGUACACACCGCCCGU
rnacentral:rRNA from 1 species